rnacentral:rRNA from 1 species
UACGAAGGGGGCGAGCGUUGUUCGGAAUUACUGGGCGUAAAGGGCGCGCAGGCGGCUCUGAAAGUCAGAUGUGAAAGCCCCGGGCUUAACCUGGGAAUUGCAUUUGAUACUCUGGAGCUUGAGUACGGGAGAGGAGAGUGGAAUUCCCAGUGUAGAGGUGAAAUUCGUAGAUAUUGGGAAGAACACCGGUGGCGAAGGCGGCGACCUGGUCCGAUACUGACGCUGAGGCGCGAAAGCGUGGGGAGCAAACAGG